rnacentral:rRNA from 1 species
GAUGAACGCUGGCGGCGUGCCUAAACAUUGAAAUUCGGGCGAACAGUUAAGAGGUUGGUCCUUUUGAGGUUGCCGGCGGCGGGGUGGUUACACGGUGGGAACCUACCUUUAAAGCCGGGGUUACUUUCGGGAACCGGGGGCAAAACCGGGUUAACUUUUGGAACGGCUGGGUUUUAAGGGGAAGGUGGGUUUGCUUACCACUAUAAGUGGAACCGCGCCGUAUUAGCUAGUUGGUAAGGUAACGGCUUACCAAGGCAACGAUACGUAGCCGACCUGAGAGGGUGAUCGGCCACACUGGAACUGAGACACGGUCCAGACUCCUACGGGAGGCAGCAGUAGGGAAUCUUCCGCAAUGGGCGAAAGCCUGACGGAGCAACGCCGCGUGAGUGAUGAAGGGUUUCGGCUCGUAAAACUCUGUUAUUAGGGAAGAACAAAUGUGUAAGUAACUGUGCACGUCUUGACGGUACCUAAUCAGAAAGCCACGGCUAACUACGUG